AUUGAACGCUGGCGGCAGGCCUAACACAUGCAAGUCGAGCGGAUGAAGGGAGCUUGCUCCUGGAUUCAGCGGCGGACGGGUGAGUAAUGCCUAGGAAUCUGCCUGGUAGUGGGGGAUAACGUCCGGAAACGGGCGCUAAUACCGCAUACGUCCUGAGGGAGAAAGUGGGGGAUCUUCGGACCUCACGCUAUCAGAUGAGCCUAGGUCGGAUUAGCUAGUUGGUGGGGUAAAGGCCUACCAAGGCGACGAUCCGUAACUGGUCUGAGAGGAUGAUCAGUCACACUGGAACUGAGACACGGUCCAGACUCCUACGGGAGGCAGCAGUGGGGAAUAUUGGACAAUGGGCGAAAGCCUGAUCCAGCCAUGCCGCGUGUGUGAAGAAGGUCUUCGGAUUGUAAAGCACUUUAAGUUGGGAGGAAGGGCAGUAAGUUAAUACCUUGCUGUUUGGACGUCACCAACAGAAUAAGCACCGGCUAACUUCGU
rnacentral:rRNA from 1 species